rnacentral:misc_RNA from 1 species
GCAAAAUCUUCAUCAGUUUCACCAGGAAAUCCACAAAUUAUAUCUGUUGCAAUCUGCAUCCCAGGGACCAAUUCCAUUAAUGUAUCCACCACUUUCCUGAACUCACCUACAGUGUAUUCACGGUUCAUUGCACUCAAGACUGAAUCACUACCCGACUGAACUGGCACAUGAAGAAAAGAAUACACACAUGGAUGACAUAAGACAUCAGCUAUUUCCUUCAAGUGCUCAAGAAUAUAAGGAGGAUUGGUCAUCCCAAUUCGGAGCAUUGUACUUCCAUUCAAAGGAAGCUGUGCAACUAUAGCAUUCAAUAGAAUAGGAAGAUUAACUCCAAUGUCACGACCAUAUGCCCCGG